UAGCACAAUGUGAUGUCAGCUGUGAAAACACGUGAUGCAAUCACACAAUAUGGCCUUUGCAGCUUAUUUUUUACACGCCGGAAGCUGUCUUGUGUCAUUGAAUUUUUAAAAAAGCCUAUCAUGGUCUGGCAAGAAAGAUAAUUUUAAUUUUAAUUUUGCAGAAUAAAAAGUUGUGAACGAAUAUCUAAGGCAGAAGGCUUCAUGCUCAACAACAAGGAUCCACAUCUGUCAAACCGGGGCCCAGGAGAGUGAGACUAUGGAGGACGGCAAAUGCCAGGCGACCAGUGCCCAUAGACUGCAGGGUUCACGCAGAGCUGUAAGGACAGAUGAAGGAAGAGGGAGAAGCGGUUGAUUCAUCUAUUAAAAAGGUCUGGGAAAAGCAAGGACUUUUUAUAAGUUUAAGUGCAAGAUCAUCAUGAUUUGAUGCUUUUAAUUUAGGUAAGGAUUACUUCUAAAGAUAAGGUGAUGUUGAUUGCAGUCAUUAGCAUAUAAGUAUUAAGAAAAGAGCAUUUCCUCCAGCCCAAGAGUUUGUAGACUUUGCAUUUAUGAGUAUUCCCACGUAUACAGAAUAAGUAUGCUGCUGAGGUUGGUGUCAAGCAUGCAUAACAAUAAGAUUUAUAUCAAGCUCAUUAGCAUACAAGAAUAAUAUCUCGCUUGUAUGGUUCCCCGGAGUUCUGGCUAAAUUCCCAACCUGGCUUUCACAAUCUGGCCAUCUAAUCAUCCCCCUGAUUAAUUGAUUUAAUAAUCCCUCCCUCUCCACCUCAGCUCAUGUAUGGUGUGUAUUCUGGGGGAAAAAUGGCUGCCGUGCAUCACCCAGGUGGGUGCUGCAUAUUGGUUGUGGUUCAGGAGAUGACCUCCCCUCUCUCUGUAAAUAGUUUGAGAUCUUGGUAGAAAUUGUUGUAUAUAUUUAUAUAUCCAGGGUAGCUGGUGUUUUUUUUUGGUGUUAACUUUUUGGUAGCAAGCUCAUUAGUGAACAUUUUUUCUGGAGAUGGACACUACUUAAAAUUUAAUGCAUUUGCCUAAAAUUGCCUCAUUCAUUUAAUGUAUUCAUACUUGUCCUGUCUAUCCUCUAAAUUAAUUUACAUGUAGGUGUUUUUCCUUUUAACAUGAAUCUUUUACUUUCAUUUUAACAUCACAUAGGUAUUUAUAUUAAUAAUUUUGUAAUGUGAGCAUGUCUCCAAAUGUAAUUCUUUAUUGGAGUGCUUCUAACCUUGUGCAAUACUGCAUAACAAAACAAAUAAAGAGAAAAUGAAUUUGAUAGUGUGAAACUAUAAAUAUUAACAU